rnacentral:rRNA from 1 species
GCAGCCGCCGCGGGAAUACGUAGGGUGCAAGCGUUAAUCGGAAUUACUGGGCGUAAAGCGUGCGCAGGCGGUUAUAUAAGACAGAUGUGAAAUCCCCGGGCUCAACCUGGGAACUGCAUUUGUGACUGUAUAGCUAGAGUACGGCAGAGGGGGAUGGAAUUCCGCGUGUAGCAGUGAAAUGCGUAGAUAUGCGGAGGAACACCGAUGGCGAAGGCAAUCCCCUGGGCCUGUACUGACGCUCAUGCACGAAAGCGUGGGGAGCAAACAGGAUUAGAUACCCGCGUAGUCCCUGUCUCUUAUAC